UACGUAGGGGGCAAGCGUUGUCCGGAAUCAUUGGGCGUAAAGCGCGUGUAGGCGGCUCGGUAAGUCCGCUCUGAAAGCCCGGGGCUCAACCCCGGGAGGCGGGUGGAUACUGCUGAGCUCGAGUCCGGAAGAGGAGUGUGGAAUUCCUGGUGUAGCGGUGAAAUGCGCAGAUAUCAGGAGGAACACCGGUGGCGAAGGCGGCUCUCUGGUCCACAACUGACGCUGAGGUGCGAAAGCUAGGGGAGCAAACGGG
rnacentral:rRNA from 1 species